UACAGUGUGUUUAGAACUCCAGAUGAGGUAUGUGGGUCAACCGAACUUUCAUGAGUUCUCCCAGGCACCUAUCCACGCCUUCUUAGAUUGUUUCCUUAGGAAAAUAGCUCCAGUUCCAAACAAUUGACCAUAAAUCAUCUUUCUCUAGGGAGCCCCAGGGAUAUAGGAGGCCUGGAUUGUUUGUCUGCUGUGAACUCAGACAGGUGUGAGCCCCACUGAGAGGCUUAGCUCCACUCCAGGCCUGAGACUGCUGAGCUGUUAAGGAAGCCAGAAGCCCCCUUAAAGUGAGCACCCAGAAAGGAAAUAAUAGACCAGAGAGAGGAGAGGAUGCAUAUGAGCUUGGUGUAAGACCUUGAUCUGGGGCAGGAAGGACAGGAGGCUCAGGGCAGCUGCUGAAUGUGCCCAUACAAUCUUUGCCUUCAGAGGAACUCAAUAGAAUUAUGAAGAGAAACCAGUCUUUACUGUGAUAGUUCAAAGUUGGUUUUAUGGUCUCUCAAAGUGGUCUGCUAAGGCUCUGAGCCUUCUCUCCUGAGGGCGUGAUGGAUAAUAACGUAGAAGGUCUGGACUGGGGUUCUCGGAUCUGCCUUUUGUAAAAGCCCCAUGUGAUUUUGAGGCUCACUCAUGGUUAAGAACCACUGAUAGAACUGAAUCUACUUUCCAAGUGUCACACGGAAUUGGACUAAGAAUCCAAGUAUCCUAGCUCUCAACGCAGCGCCCUUUCUUUGACAUUUUAAAGAUGAACAGAAAGAUGUGUUGGGAAGAAGAGAUUUGAUGAGACAUGAAACAAAAUAUUAGUAUGAGACGAAAGUUCUCUGGUUCCUCAGUAACAAUAACGAUCAUUAGUGCUAAUAAACCUCAUUGUAUUUGGAAGUACAGAUGCUACUACUGAUGGUGCAGAUGUUUGAGGGAAAAAACGUGGGCACACUCAGCCGGCGGCAGUGCGGGAAUGACGCGGCCCAGCGGAGCGCACCACCCAUUAGAGAAGUUGCCAGCACCAAAUACUCACUUUUGCGGCUCGACCGAGCCUGGAGAGCUGGUAAUGUGAGCCAGCAGCGGCCAACAGGACGAUGCCCGGGAAAGUCUACAGUGGGGACAAAAGGUAGCUGUGGCGGAGAUCUUUGUCCUUCUAACACGGAGAGGCUCUUCCAUCUUCUUUCCUGUUCUGGAGGACAGGGCAUGAGUGCGUGGUGACUGACACUGUUGCAGCCGUCUUGCAGUCCUGAAGGCGAAGUCCAAAGAAUCACCGAGAAGCUGACCCACCGGCCAGACACUGCUGGACAACUCAACCAGCCCUGGAACUUACCCCGUCUGGACUUAUUGGUAUAUAGGAUGUAGAGAAAUUAUGCAGUAAUCUUUCUAUUUAAUAAUAACAAAUUGCCAAAUAACAAUCUUACACAUUCACAAUGACUUAGGUUUUCCAUUACCUACGUGCUGACUGACAUCACAGGGGCUCUGUGAUCAACUCAGGGCCCGCCUCCCUCCCUUGGCCGGGAAAUGGAGAUGAGAGUUAAAAUUAUAGAAAAGCUCAAGUCUCCCACCCCCUGCUGCACUUGCUCCUCACGCCUGCCUUUUGUGGGCUGGCUCCGGCUCCCACAGGGCCCCUGGGUCACUCGACCGCACCCACAACUCAUUCUGUCUAAUUCUAGACUCUUCCAGGAAAGGACUUCCCUUCUUGUUCUCUGUUUUCUUUUUACCUAGCAGUUCAGGCUUGACAGAGUCUGGGUCUCUCCUUAAGGUCUUCGGCUUCCUCUAGGGGAGACACUCCUCUUUCCCACUCAGUGGGGCCUCCUGGGACCCUUUGAGGCCCCCAUUCCACCCUAGUCAGGGACUCCCACUUGUUUUGUUCCUCCGGAGGUGGGCAUUAUCGCCUCUCACUUCUCUCUCUGCCUGAAGGAACAAACUCUUUAGUCAAACCAGUUUACUUGCGCGCUUCAGAAAAUCCACUUCCUCUUCUACUUCCAACAGUUUCCUCCACCUUGAAUGCUGCUUAAUGGCAACAUCUCCACCUAUGGGACUCCUUCCCAUUCUUGGAAACCUCUCCCACGUUCACGUCCCCUGUGAGUUAAUCCGUGUCCAUUCCAGCCACAGAAAGCUCCUUCCUUCCAGCACCUGCGGGAGUGUGUACCUCUGCGCCAGCCGGUCACUCUGCUGUGUGUGUUACACUGCCGUGUCUCUGGGUUGUGAACGUGUGUCUCCCUGCUGGACCAUAAGCUUCCAGGACUGCAGUUUAUGUAUCUUUUUAAUCCUCUCCAGUAUUCUGCAGCAGGACAGCCCAAGCCAACAAACACUUACUGUGCUUGGUGGUGCUAUCUCAGGACUUCUUGUUACGGAGAAUAAUAAAUGUAGCUAUUGUUCAAAGCUAAUUUUAUUUGAGUUUGCAUUUCCUUGUAGUCAAGAGCACCAUAAUGCAUACAAAUUCCCAUGAAGGAAAUAGAGGUGGGAGUAGAAACGGGGUUUUUCUACAGUUUAUUUCAAAGUGGGUGGUGUAUGAAGCGGAAUGAUUGAGGGGGGGAAGGUUAAGAGUUGGUCUCAUAAAGAGGUACAGCUAUGAUGUAUCCAUAAAAAUUAAAAAUAAAAAAAUUU